CAGUAGCCGCGGGAAUACGAAGGGGGCUAGCGUUGUCCGGAUUUACUGGGCGUAAAGCGCACGUAGGCGGACUUUUAAGUCAGGGGUGAAAUCCCGGGGCUCAACCCCGGAACUGCCUUUGAUACUGGGAGUCUUGAGUUCGAGAGAGGUGAGUGGAAUUGCGAGUGUAGAGGUGAAAUUCGUAGAUAUUCGCAGGAACACCAGUGGCGAAGGCGGCUCACUGGCUCGAUACUGACGCUGAGGUGCGAAAGCGUGGGGAGCGAACAGGAUUAGAUACCCCGGUAGUCCCUGUCUCUUAUAC
rnacentral:rRNA from 1 species